rnacentral:sRNA from 1 species
UGACCACUUCUAAUCAAGAAGUUAUGGCCAUACGGACAGCCCGGUCAAAUGCCGA